GGAAACUUAUGAAACCUGGUGGUGUACUCAGGAGCCAGGAUGAAAACCAGCAGCGUGGACCCAAGUGUGGCCAGAGGGGAGGAGAUGAUUACAGAAUUUCCGUUCUGCCAGGAUAUAAGGGAGAUCCAGUCUUUGAAGCCAGCAGGAAGAAACUUGAAGCCACAUGUCUACAGCAGUGUCCUGGCAGACAGGAAUAAAUGGACACACUUUCCAAGGUCACGAGAAAGACUUUCUAAAAUGGUGGCCCAUUAAAGCAACGAUACUGUUGUAAGCAAGAGAGAUGGCUUCAGCGGUGAAGGUCACUGGCUGUUCUUGUAGAGGACUAGGGUUCUGUUCCCAGCAUGCGCAGGGUGACUCACGACUGUCUGUGGCUUCAGUUCUAAAAGAUCUGAUGACAUCUUGUGGCUUCUGAACACAUAAGGUGCACAUAACUUCAUAAAUGCAAUUAGUAUGUAAAACAGCGGCUCUCCUGGAAAUGACUGCUCGGGGGCUGAGCUCAGAUGAGAAGAUUUACAACAGAGAAAAGCUGUGUGAAGCCAGUGGAUGUGGAUGUGCAAAAAAAAAAAAAAACGUGGCAAAAAUCACUAAGGGCCCUAGAGGGCGACUGAGAAUUAGAAACAGGAUUUGAGCUACAGCUUUGUAAGAGAUGAGGAAUCUGCACUCAAAAUGAAAAACCUGAAGCUCUAUUAAGAAGUGAGAUAAAUUUGGGGUCUCCAUAUACCUUUGUUAUAAAAAUAUGUAUUGAUUUAAAACAUGAUUUAGAAGACCUCACUGCAAGGGAG
rnacentral:lncRNA from 1 species